GGACGAAAGUCUGAUGGAGCAACGCCGCGUGAGCGAAGAAGGCCUUCGGGUCGUAAAGCUCUGUUGUUAGGGAAGAACAAGUAUCGGAGUAACUGCCGGUACCUUGACGGUACCUAACCAGAAAGCCACGGCUAACUACGUGCCAGCAGCCGCGGUAAUACGUAGGUGGCAAGCGUUGUCCGGAAUUAUUGGGCGUAAAGCGCGCGCAGGCGGUCCUUUAAGUCUGAUGUGAAAGCCCACGGCUCAACCGUGGAGGGUCAUUGGAAACUGGGGGACUUGAGUGCAGAAGAGGAAAGCGGAAUUCCACGUGUAGCGGUGAAAUGCGUAGAGAUGUGGAGGAACACCAGUGGCGAAGGCGGCUUUCUGGUCUGUAACUGACGCUGAGGCGCGAAAGCGUGGGGAGCAAACAGGAUUAGAUACCCUGGUAGUCCACGCCGUAAACGAUGAGUGCUAAGUGUUAGGGGGUUUCCGCCCCUUAGUGCUGCAGCUAACGCAUUAAGCACUCCGCCUGGGGAGUAC
rnacentral:rRNA from 1 species